rnacentral:rRNA from 1 species
UACAGAGGGUGCAAGCGUUGUUCGGAAUCAUUGGGCGUAAAGGGCGUGUAGGCGGUUUGUUAAGUCAUGUGUGAAAUCCCUCGGCUCAACCGGGGAACGACGCUUGAAACUGGCAAGCUAGAGUACCAAAGAGGGCGGUGGAAUUCCCGGUGUAGCGGUGAAAUGCGCAGAGAUCGGGAGGAACACCAAUGGCGAAAGCAGGUAACUGGACCAUUACUGACACUCAGCUGCGAAAGCUAGGGGAGCAAACAGG